rnacentral:rRNA from 1 species
GUGUCAGCAGCCGCGGUAAUACGUAGGGGGCUAGCGUUGUCCGGAUUUAUUGGGCGUAAAGAGCGUGUAGGCGGCUUAGUAGGUCCGCUGUGAAAACUCGAGGCUCAACCUCGAGAUGUCGGCGGAAACCACUUAGCUAGAGUCCGGAAGAGGAGAGUGGAAUUCCCGGUGUAGCGGUGAAAUGCGCAGAUAUCGGGAAGAACACCUAUGGCGAAGGCAGCUCUCUGGGACGGUACUGACGCUGAGACGCGAAAGCGUGGGGAGCGAACAGGAUUAGAUACCCUGGUAGUCCACGCCGUAAACGAUGGGUGCUAGGUGUGGGCGGUGUCGACUCCGUCCGUGCCGCAGCUAACGCAUUAAGCACCCCGCCUGGGGAGUACGGCCGCAAGGCUAAA